rnacentral:rRNA from 1 species
UACGAGGGGGGCAAGCGUUGUUCGGAAUUAUUGGGCGUAAAGCGUGCGCAGGCGGUUUUGUAAGUUUGUCGUGAAAUCCCCGGGCUCAACCUGGGAAUGGCGAUGAAGACUGCAAGGCUAGAGUUUGGCAGAGGGGGGGGUAGAAUUCCACGUGUAGCAGUGAAAUGCGUAGAUAUGUGGAGGAACACCGAUGGCGAAGGCAGCCCCCUGGGAUAACACUGACGCCUCAUGCACGAAAGCGUGGGGAGCAAACAGG